rnacentral:rRNA from 1 species
GACGAACGCUGGCGGCGUGCUUAACACAUGCAAGUCGAACGGAAAGGCCCUGCUUUUGUGGGGUGCUCGAGUGGCGAACGGGUGAGUAACACGUGAGUAACCUGCCCUUGUCUUUGGGAUAACUUCAGGAAACUGGGGCUAAUACCGGAUAGGAUCUCCUGCUGCAUGGUGGGGGUUGGAAAGUGUCGGCGGUUGGGGAUGGACUCGCGGCUUAUCAGCUUGUUGGUGGAGUAGUUGCUUACCAAGCCUUUGACGGGUAGCCGGCAUGAGAGGGUGACCGGCGACAUGGGGACUACGGGAGGCACCAGACUCGAACGGGAGGCAGCAGGGGGAAGUAUUGCGCAAUGGGGGGGAGCCUGAGGUAAAAGCCCCGGGAGCGGGAUAACGGCCUACGGGGUGUAAACAGAUGUGUAAGGUAACGAAGCGUGCGUGACGGUAAUGAAUAAGGAAGCCCCGGCUAACUACGUG